rnacentral:rRNA from 1 species
CCUACGGGGGGCAGCAGGCGCGAAACCUUCGCAAUGCCCGAAAGGGUGACGAGGCUACCCCGAGUGCCGUCCGCUAAGGACGGCUUUUGUCGGGUCUAAAAAGCCCGACGAAUAAGGGGAGGGCAAGUCUGGUGUCAGCCGCCGCGGUAAUACCAGCUCCCCGACUGGUCGGGACGAUUAUUGGGUCUAAAGCGUCCGUAGCCGGCCCUGUAUGUGAUCCGUUAAAUCCAGCGGCUCAACCGCUGGGCUGCGGAUCAUACUAUGGGGCUAGGGGACGGGAGAGGCCGGAGGUACUCCGCGGGUAGGGGUAAAAUCCGCUGAUCCGCGGAAGACCAACAGUGGCGAAGGCGUCCGGCCAGAACGCGCCCGACGGUGAGGGACGAAAGCCAGGGGAGCGAACCGGAUUAGAUACCCGGGUAGUCCUGGCCGUAAACGAUGCCCGCUAGGUCUUGGUGAAGCUUAGGGCUUCAUCAGGGCCGCAGGGAAGCCGUUAAGCGGGCCACCUGGGGAGUACGGCCGCAAGGCUGAAACUUUAAAGGAAUUGGCGGGGGAGCACCACAAGGGGUGAAGCUGCGGUUUAAUUGGAGUCAACGCCGGGAACCUUACCAGGGGUGACGGCAGAGUGAAGGUCAGGCUAAAGACCUUACCUGACAAGCCGAGAGGAGGUGCAUGGCCGUCGCCAGCUCGUGCUGUGAAGUGUCCUGUUAAGUCAGGCAACGAGCGAGACCCUCGCUGCCAGUUCCUUCUAUGUUCCGAAAGGUACAUAGAGGAAACUGGUGGGACCGCCGCCGAUAAGGCGGAGGAAGGAGGGGGCUACGGCAGGUCAGUAUGCCCCGAAACCCCUGGGCCACACGCGGGCUGCAAUGGUGGGGACAAUGGGAUCCGAUCCCGAAAGGGGGAGGUAAUCCCGAACCCCCACCUCAGUUGGGAUCGAGGGCUGCAACCCGCCCUCGUGAACCUGGAAUCCCUAGUAAUCGCGGGUCACCAUCCCGCGGUGAAUACGUCCCCGCUCCUUGCACACACCGCCCGUCA